AGUGAAGUUGGUGGGAGGCCAAUUUGUGAAUCACAAGGUUGGCCAAAUAUCCAACAUUGCUGAUCAAGGGAAGUUGAUUCACUGACCUGAGGCUGAGUGACUUCUUGAAUGAAGAUAAGCUUUUAAGUUGGCCAUUAAAAUUGAAUUGUCUUUUACCACUGUAGUUGCAAAAGAUUKAUUUCUCAGUUAAAGGGGAAUUACACUUUUCCUGUUUCUGUUGAGUCCGUAUGGUUUCAUAUCGUUAUGUGAGUUUCACAGCCAUCCUAAUGUGAUGUUAAAGGGGAACUUCACCCAUUUUAAGUUUUUGUGGCCUUACUUUUCUCUUUAUAUAUAUUAUGUCUACUGUGCCAUUAAUCCAUGUUUGAAAGAUUUAACCUUAAUAUGCAAAUAUUGAGUUAUAGGAUGGUGGAAACAAAAUAUGUAAAAUUAGUGAGUUUGGAGUGUUUUAUAUACACAUUUUCAUCAUGCAUUCAGUCAAUGGAAAGUGAUGAUUCAGCAAAAGUGAAACCAAUUUUCAGAAAUACGAUAUCAAAAAACGAUUUGGGAAAUCAACUACAAACACAGAAAGGGAGAACAUAAAACAUGUGAAAAUGUGUUAACUUCCCCUUUAACUGACGGUAUAACAACAGAAUUUCCUCUUGGGGAUCAAUCACAUAUAAAAUGCAAACAUUUUACAGUUUUGUUAUGGUUCGCCGUUAAACUCUAACUCACAUAGUAAUGAUUUUUUUAAACCAUCUAUAGAAUGGACUGGAGAACAUCGAACAGAACAAUUGAUUGUAAUUCCCCCACUCAUGGUUAUUUUGAAAUGAUUUGUCUCUGCAUUCCUGAAAUAUGACGUACCAGUCGCCAGCCAAAUUAAUGCAAAGCUGUAUGAUGAGUCGGGAACUGAAGUUGAUGGAGAAAUGUUUGAGGAGGUGCUGACACAGCCAAGUCCUGMUGUUUUCACAAUCACACUGGACAAUGAUACUGUAUCUUCCCAGAUGACUUCCUCCUUUGCCAGUUCCUUGUUGGAGAUCUCGUCCAUUGAGUCAGAUGAUACUGUCAUUCUGAGCGAUGAUUGGAGCCCUUCAAGAAAAUGACAGAGAGCUGAGGAUGAAGCUAAACAACAUUUAAGAAAUAACAUACUGAAGAAGAAAUCUGGUGGCGCUCUUGUCAUCAAUKCUCUCGAACCAAAGGACACCAGACGAAAGAUGAUACAUUUUCUCACAGCAGAGAUGACCGAGACUCACGGUUAAGCACUAAACCAGGCACGCAAGAAAGCUGUCUGUAUCUAAGAUGUAUUUCAGAUGAAUGUUGCUAUUAUAGGGACCAGAAUCAACAGGGGGCUUCAUUGCAAAUGGAUGUAUAAAGUACUCUUGUUGUCAGGACAUCAGCACCACGCCAUGAGGGAGUCAUAUGCUCAAGGAAUUGUCGACUUGUUCCCUUACCUCAAGGACUCCUACAAAACUAAAGGAUAUGAACAUUAUUUUGACCCUCAAACUGGAAAUAGUUACUUGUCCUCUGAACCAUCCAGAGGAAUUCAGCUUCACCUGAGAAAUUACCACCUAGCCAGUAAUUCAGUGGUGGCCCAAUAGCUGAGAUAGAGACUCCAUCCCAUCCAGAGAUUACCCUGAUUGGUGAAAAGUGUAGGGAAGCCAUUUCCCUGAUGAAGCAUUCUUCUGAUGAGGUCACCAACAAGCAGAAGAUGAGGAUGACAWAUGAAUACAGACGGAAGAUGACUCAUGACCCAAGUAAAUGCUGCGAGUUGCUGACUGAAUUUCCACAAUUCAUGGAUAUGAAGUGCCUGGAUGGACAGUGACCUCUCCUCCAUCCUCCUCCAGCUCCAUUUGAUUCCCCCUUCAUCACAAGGCCACAAAAGACCAGGCAAGGCAGGAACCAGUAUCCAGAAACACAUUGAUGCUAUUGCCCAAAGCAGUUAACCGUACCUCCUUGCUGUCGGGACCAAGAGGAGCAGCAUCCAUAGUUACUUCCUCAUCCUGGACAAGCAAGCUCUGACAUGAAACUCUACAAGCGCCUUUUCUUUAGUUUAUUUGUUAAAUAUUUUCUUUACUCUUCUUGAACUGCACUGUUGGUUAAGGGCUUGUAAGUAAGCAU